rnacentral:lncRNA from 1 species
UAAUAUAUUGUGGGAUCAACGAGAAAACGUGUUGCAUUGAGUAUUGAAAGGAAAGGAUAAGCUACUCGAAUAGUUAGAUAAACGUAUGGAAGUGUUGCCAAAAUUACAAAAAUUUACAACGUUGGUAGACCCGUAAUUAAUGAUAUCAAAACAAAAACAUGUAAUUGAAAAUUAUCCAGGUGUUUCAGGAAGAAGCAGAAAAACUUUAAUGCACGUGAAAAAUAAUAAAAAGUAACAAAUCAGAGGUCCUUGUGCUGGAAAAUAGAAGAUUAUAGCGAAAGUGACGAUGCGGAACCUUUCUAUUGAAUUAUACGGAGAGUUCGUUCCGUUUUUCAGUUUCAGGCCAUACUGAAGAACGUGUUUUCUUCUUUACGUGCAUCGUUUUCAAUCAAUAAAUUCGUCGAACCUGGUAAAUUCUUCAUGCAACCUCGAUCGGACUGGACCUUAUUCCUACAAUCAACAAACGAGCAAGCCAACUGCCAUUCUUUUCAAGAUAGGAAAGCUAUACCGUUCCAAGCGAGAAGCCAAUUUCCUCCGUUGGUUAACCACGAGCCUAACUCCAUGGUUUAUCAUUAGAUCUCGAGCACGCGAAUCGCUGUAAUUUACGAUAUAUACAACAAUUGGGCAAAUGCGUUUUUCCUACAUAAUUCGAGAAACAGACGCUCGUUCUAUCGCCCGAAAAGUAAUGUCGACCCAUCAUCAAUUCGCGUACCGGAGAUUACCCGGCCUAGUCGAACUUGCAAGCAAAAGCAACUUCUUAACGGAAUCUGUUAAUCUCGAUGUUAAUUAAUGUAAUCGUGUUAAUUGU